UGAUGUUGCUCUUCCCACUUAUGUGUCAACGCCCACUUUCAAACACACUCCACCUAUGCAGUUACACAUGAAUCUGUGGAAGACCUGUGGCAGAGCUAGCAGGGUAGGUUGUAGAGGCUUGGCCAGCAGGGUAGGUUGUAGAGGCUUGGCCAGCAGGGUAGGUUGUAGAGGCUUGGCCAGCAGGGUAGGUUGUAGAGGCUUGGCCAGCAGGGUAGGUUGUAGAGGCUUGGCCAGCAGGGUAGGUUGUAGAGGCUUGGCCAGCAGGGUAGGUUGUAGAGGCUUGGUCAGCAGGGUAGGUUGUAGAGGCUUGGCCAGCAGGGUAGGUUGUAGAGGCUUGGCCAGCAGGGUAGGUUGUAGAGGCUUGGUCAGCAGGGUAGGUUGUAGAGGCUUG